rnacentral:misc_RNA from 1 species
GAUGAAGAACGUAGUGAAAUGCGAUAAGUAAUGUGAAUUGCAGAAUUCAGUGAAUCAUCGAAUCUUUGAACGCACAUUGCGCCCGCCAGUAUUCUGGCGGGCAUGCCUGUUCGAGCGUCAUUUCAACCAUCAAGCCCCCGGCUUGUGUUGGGGACCUGCGGCUGCCGCAGGCCCUGAAAACCAGUGGCGGGCUCGCUGUCACACCGAGCGUAGUAGAUUUUCAUCUCGCUCAGGGCGUGCUGCGGGUUCCGGCCGUAAAAAGCCUUAUUUACCCAAGGUUGACCUCGGAUCAGGUAGGAAGACCCGCUGAACUUAAGCAUAUCAAUAAGCGGAGGA